rnacentral:rRNA from 1 species
ACGGCUCAGUAACACGUAGGUAACCUACCCUUCGGACGGGCACAACCCCGGGAAACUGGGGCUAAUUCCCGAUAGGUACCCCCUUCUGGAAUGUGGGGAUAUCCAAAGCUCCGGCGCCGAAGGAUGGGCCUGCGGCCGAUUAGGUUGUUGGCGGGGUAACAGCCCACCAAGCCGACGAUCGGUACGGGCAGUGAGAGCUGCAGCCCGGAGAUGGGGACUGAGACAAGGCCCCAGGCCCUACGGGGCGCAGCAGGCGCGAAACCUUCACAAUGCACGAAAGUGUGAUGAGGGUACUCCGAGUGCGCAUACAUUGUAUGUGCUUUUCUGCAGCGUAAAUAGUUGCAGGAAUAAGGGCUGGGCAAGACCGGUGCCAGCCGCCGCGGUAACACCGGCAGCCCUAGUGGUGGCCGCUUUUAUUGGGCCUAAAGCGUCCGUAGCCGGACAGGCGAGUCUUUGGGUAAAUCCUACGUCUUAAGCGUGGGAAUUCUAAAGAUACUACCUGUCUUGAGGCCGGGAGAGGCUGGAGGUACUCCUGGGGUAGGGGUAAAAUCCUAUAAUCCUGGGGGGACCACCGAUGGCGAAGGCAUCCAGCUGGAACGGGCCUGACGGUGAGGGACGAAACCCAGGGGAGCGAGCCGGAUUAGAUACCCGGGUAGUCCUGGGCGUAAAUGAUGUGGGCUUGGUGUGAGCGCAUCGACGAGGUGCGCUUGUGCCGUAGGGAAGCCGUUAAGCCCACCGCCUGGGGAGUACGGUCGCAAGGCUGAAACUUAAAGGAAUUGGCGGGGGAG